rnacentral:tRNA from 1 species
AAAUAAGAAGCGAAGUAUUGCAAUCAGUUUCGACCUGAAAUUUGGCAUAUAAAUGCCCUUAUUUA